GACAACGCUGGCGGCGUGCCUAACACAUGCAAGUCGAACGGAGUUCCUUGGAUAGAGGCUUCGGCCAAUUGAAUUGGAACUUAGUGGCGGACUGGUGAGUAACGCGUGAGGAACCUGCCUUUCAGAGGGGGACAACAGUUGGAAACGACUGCUAAUACCGCAUGACACAUUCGGGCGGCAUCGCUUGAAUGUCAAAGAUUUUAUCGCUGAAAGAUGGCCUCGCGUCUGAUUAGCUAGUUGGUAGGGUAACGGCCUACCAAGGCGACGAUCAGUAGCCGGACUGAGAGGUUGACCGGCCACAUUGGGACUGAGAUACGGCCCAGACUCCUACGGGAGGCAGCAGUGGGGAAUAUUGGGCAAUGGACGCAAGUCUGACCCAGCAACGCCGCGUGAAGGAAGAAGGCUUUCGGGUUGUAAACUUCUUUUAAGUGGGAAGAGCAGAAGACGGUACCACUUGAAUAAGCCACGGCUAACUACGUG
rnacentral:rRNA from 1 species